UGACCGACCAGGAGAGAGACCUCGGGUUGUAGUGGACAGCACGAUGAAAAUGUCGACCCAGUGUGCAGCAGCUGUGAAAAAGGCAAAUUCCAUGCUAGCGAUAAUUAGGAAAGGUAUUGAAAAUAAAACAGCCGAUCUCAUCAUGCCGUUGUAUAAAUCUAUGGUGCGGCCGCAUUUGGAAUACUGUGUACAGUUCUGGUCGCCUCAUCUCAAAAAGGAUAUUAUAGAGUUGGAAAAGGUUCAGAAGAGGGCAACCAGAAUGAUCAAGGGGAUGGAGCGACUCCCUUACGAGGAAAGGUUGCAGCAUUUGGGGCUUUUUAGUUUAGAGAAAAGGCAGGUCAGAGGAGACAUGAUAGAAGUGUAUAAAAUUAUGCAUGGCAUUGAGAAAGUGGAUAGAGAAAAGUUCUUCUCUCUCUCUCAUAAUACUAGAACUCGUGGCCAUUCAAAGAAGCUGAAUGUUGGAAGAUUCAGGACAGACAAAAGGAAGUACUUCUUUACUCAGCGCAUAGUUAAACUAUGGAAUUUGCUCCCACAAGAUGCAGUAAUGGCCACCAGCUUGGAUGGCUUUAAAAGAAGAUUAGACAAAUUCAUGGAGGACAGGGCUAUCAAUGGCUACUAGCCAUCAUGGCUGUGCUCUGCCACCCUAGUCAGAGGCAGCAUGCUUCUGAAAAGCAGUCGCCAGAAGCCUCAGGAGGGGAGAGUGUUCUUGCACUCGGGUCCUACUUGCGGGCUUCCCCCAGGCACCUGGUUGGCCACUGUGAGAACAGGAUGCUGGACUAGAUGGGCCACUGGCCUGAUCCAGCAGGCUCUUCUUAUGUUCUUAUGUUCUUAUGUACAUCAUUGCACUGGGAAAAAGGCCAUCAAGGUGGAGAACAAACAACAUUUUAAAAAGAGCCCACUUGGACAAGGGAAUGCUCUGAAGAAGAAAACAUCCAUCAGUGCAGAUGAGGAGAUGCCCAGGGCUCUUGUGAGUUUGUGAGGGGAGGGGGAUGGAAGAUCGGAGGCUUAGUAGGUUCUUGGGCAUCUGUGGCUUUUGCAAAUUAGGAGGGCCUCAAUGAGAAGAAGCCAAGUCCUUUUUGAAAUCAUGUAAAGCCUCAAGGAAAGCUCCUUUUCUCAUCUUCUCUUCAUCUCUGUUCUAGGUUCUCAAAGCUCCAAAACAUCUUCUUCAAGAAAAUAAGCAGCAACCAAGAUCCUGUGCUUUAUAGGAAGGGAAAAAUGGGCCUGGAAUAUUGUACACUUCAGUAAAAGUAAUAAAAUAUGUCCCAAGGAAAAUCGAUGAGCCAUAGUAACAUUCUCCUCUAUUUAAAAAUGAUACCAUCUAAGCGGGGGGGGGGAGGCCAUGUGCAAUUUUGAAAACAUAUCUGAAGCUGCUGUGAGGCUCAAAAUAUCCUUCCUAUAAAGUGCAAUGUUCUGGAGACUCUGCCAGUCAAGGAGAAGAUCCAUUGCUGCAGGUGAGAUGUCCAGUGCUCUUUGGAAACUUUGCAGAGAGGAAAUGGAGGAUUUUCCCCAUUGGUGGAAACAUGGGAUGCCAGAGUACUACACUUUGAUCUCAUCACUUUUUAAGUUCUGCAGUGUCUGUGUACAAUUGUAGAACAUUAUGCCAUGUGGGCUAGUUCUGCAGUUCCAUUUCCAUUAAAACCAGUGAGGGAAGGAUGCCUGGGGUAUGUCAAGCAAGCAAUAGGGAUGUCCACCCCUAACUGACUCCACAGUUUCCAGAGUAACCAGGAUGAGAUCAAGAACCUGAGUGCCAUUUCAGGUUUUUUGCUUAACAGAAGAACAUGAUGGACUAAACCAUCUGGAGCUUGCAUCUCUCAAAGCACAGGUAAUAGAGGCAAUGGUGAUGAGUGAGGUGUUCUGAGAUGUUAUGCAGAGGGCCCCUUACUUUCCUUGCUUGGGACACACUUGCCUCUAUACUUGUUUGAAAACUGUUUCCAUGUUCCAUGUAUAAGCCCUUCAGUGACAAUGGGUGGCUGGGGAGAUUGAGUCAGAUGCCAGAGUAACCUUUUCUCCUUGCAGACCUCAACGCUGUUCUUGAAGCGUCUCUGCACAGUUGUAAGAUAUUAUGCCAGACGGGCUGGUUCUGCAGCUCCAUUCCCAUCCAGAGCCAGCGUAGGAAGGAUGCCUGGGGCAUGUCAAACUAGACUCCCCUAACUGUUUGGCUCCCUCUCAAAUUCUAGAAAAAAACAGGAUGAGGGGUUGGACCUCAACUUUAUUAGCACGGUCUCAGGGGUUUGCCUUGAGACCGCACAAAGAAGUGUGAAACACCUGGACCUUUCCUAUUCAAAGGCCCAAUUAAUGGAGGUCAUAGUAGUGAGUCAUGUUGUGCAGAGGGCUGCUUACUUUUCUCACUUGGGACACUCUUGUCUGAAACCAAUUCCAUGUUCCAGGAAGAUGACUUUCAGUGACCACAAAUGGCUUGGAGAAUAGAGUCAGGUGCCAGCGGAACCUCUUCUCUUUGCAGCCCUAAGCACUGUUCCCACAAAAGGACAAGCUCCUGUCAGUCUGGUAGAGCUGGCCCAGCUGUGAGCAUCUCUUGUAACUUCCAGAACUGGGAUUCGGGAGAGGAUCUGGACUUGGUCAGCACAGUCUCAUUUUUUUGCCUAGAUAAUCUAAAUAACGGAUGUGACCAACUGCAGCUUCUGUAUUUGAAAGCCCAAUUGAUGGAGGCCAUAGCGGGUUGAACAUUUAUAAUGUUGAAGAACUACGGUGAAAGAAGUAUCAAGCGGAGAGGAAGAUGCUCUCCUGCAUGAACAUCACACAAGUUGGGAGAGGCCUGAAGAGGACGAGAGAGAUGAGAUGACAAGGAAGAAAAAGAUUAGAACUGGCAAACACACAAGAAAAGGCCAAAAGCAGAAGAAGCAGUGAACAGGAAGAUAUUCAGAAGCUCUUGAGUGUCGAAAGCUGAUAAGCCUAUCUAAAUACAGACAAUAUAAAGAUGAGCAGAGUUGUCAAUCUCUAAAGUUCUUAUCUUCUCUUGUAGAACAAAAGUCUUUAUUUCUGUAUGCAGAAAAAAGUUAUGGUUGAAGUUAAGAAAGAAGUUACCAAUAAUUAAAGCAAAUGUUAAUAAAAGAAAAGAAUCCUGCAAAGGGCAAAUGUUGAUGUUAAAAAUAUGGAAGGAUGGAGGAAGACCUGGGGGAAGUGGGGAGAAGGCUAUACUAUUAGGCCUCCUCUAAAGCAACACUUGACACCAGCUUUGUCCUGCUGCAGCAGUGGAACCUCAUCUCCCCGAUUCAUGGGAGGAGGACAAGGAGAAUGGGAGG